AUUGAACGCUGGCGGCAGGCCUAACACAUGCAAGUCGAGCGGAUGAAGAGAGCUUGCUCUCUGAUUUAGCGGCGGACGGGUGAGUAAUGCCUAGGAAUCUGCCUGGUAGUGGGGGAUGACGUCUCGAAAGGAACGCUAAUACCGCACACGUCCUACGGGAGAAAGCAGGGGCCCUUCGGGCCUUGCGCUAUCAGAUGAGCCUAGGUCGGAUUAGCUAGUUGGUGGGGUAAUGGCUCACCAAGGCGACGAUCCGUAACUGGUCUGAGAGGAUGAUCAGUCACACUGGAACUGAGACACGGUCCAGACUCCUACGGGAGGCAGCAGUGGGGAAUAUUGGACAAUGGGCGAAAGCCUGAUCCAGCCAUGCCGCGUGUGUGAAGAAGGUCUUCGGAUUGUAAAGCACUUUAAGUUGGGAGGAAGGGCAGUAAGUUAAUACCUUGCUGUUUUGACGUUACCGACAGAAUAAGCACCGGCUAACUCUGUGCCAGCAGCCGCAGUAAUAC
rnacentral:rRNA from 1 species